GAGGGGCGCGCGCUGGGGUUUGAUGGACAGUUGGAGAGGGUAGCACGGUGGCUCUGGUUAGCGCUGCAGUCUCACAGCGCUGGGGACCCAGGUUCGAUUCCAGCCUCCGGUGACUGUCUGUGUGGAGUUUGCACAUUCUCCCCCUGUCUGCGUGGGUUUGCUCCGGUUUCCUCCCACAGUCCAAAGAUGUGUAGGGGGCCUGAACAAGAUAGGCUAUGCGAGAAAUGAGGCAGGAUUGCAUGAGAAGUCUGGAAAGGUGUAUCAUGAUGUCAGGAGUGACUCGCAGCAUCAUUUAAUUGAAUUCCAAGUGCCAAGUGCCUGCCUCUGGAAGUGUCCAGGGUUCGAUCCUUGUGCAGUGUUCUGCUUCAAAAUUCGGCUGCUGUUCUGGUGUUGGAUCCUUGUACUAAUUUUUGUCCUUUAGGUUUAUGAUGUAAUAUUAUUGACAAUUCUUUAGAUUCUUCCAUCCACAAAAUUGCAGGUCUGCAGCUUGCCUUCUUAUCAGAAAUAACUUCUUUGUUCAUUGUUACAUUCGCUAUUGACUGUGUUUGAAGUCACAGCUUUCCUGCAGUUAACACUUUAAAUUCUUCUGCACGGCAAUCAUUCGUUCUUGUGACAGUAAGAUUUUUUAGAUUGAGAUGUUAAUGUCACAAAGUACAGGAAUACAGUGAAAUGUUUUCAAUGCCACCGCACAUACCAAGAGCUUAGGUACAAACACCUAGGUACAAAAACUUACGAACAAGGUAGAAAGAAAUAAGGAACAACAUUAAAAGUUAAACAUUGCAGACACUCUUGGUCCAGCGUAAAAAAUAAAGAAAUAAAGUUAAAACUUAAACAUUACAGUCCUUCUUAGUAUUGUCUUUCUUAAAUGCUUAGCCAUGCUGGGACUGCACUUCCAACAAGGGCUCGAUCUCCUCCAUUUGGCACGCUUUCCCUGCACUGCCUCGAUCUCCCCUACUCUCAUCGUCGCAGCAGGUACCAGGGGAACUUUCAUUGUUGCGUUGGGCUCGCUGCUGGGAUCUCAGGCCGCCGAAGGCCUAAUCCAGAAGCUGUCUGCGCAGGACCUCGGCCUUACCUUUGAUCCGCGCGCCGGGCAUCGGGAACUCAUUGAAAAUCCCGGGUCAGAUCCCCAGCCGCUGCCUUGCAUUGGACAUGUAGUCGACUGCCCAAUUCAAUGAGCCUGAUACCACUGCUACCACUCUCCAGAAGGACCCAAUCAACACUGAAGUUGCUAUUCUUCAGGCACCAAUUCUCCUCUGCCAUUGCCUGUGCCAGUCCCACCAUCUCUUACUGCUGGGCCGACUUGGCUGGUGUCCCUAUGUUACCCUUCCACCACUGCUGCCAGGACUCGACCCAACUAAUGACCAAGUCGCUGAUCCUCAGGCACCAUCUUUCGCCACAGGCCCUACCUCGCCGACAUCGCCUCCGCCAAUGUAGCAGUCUUUGAUACCAAUGCCAGGUCCUGUGCACACCCCAGAUAGGUAAGUAGGGCCUCAUUCAAGUCCACGCUGGGCUCAAUCACCGCCAACAAUGCCAUCUGUGCUCAGAACAAGAGGUAAAUAAAGGAAAGAAGAAAAAAAAACAAGAAAAGAGAGAGAGAAAAAAAGAAAUAAUUUGGAGCAGACAAUCCCCAGCUCAGGAGCCCUACUCCUCUGCCAUCUUAAUGAUGUUAUCUUAUGCUUUUAUGUUAAUAUUUACUUUCAAGAAGUUCAAUUGACAGGACUACCAGGUGCAGUGCAAUUAGAUCAGCCUUUACAUUAAAUGCUUAUUCAGUUGGCUUUGAGCAAUGGGUACAAUACACAAAACAAAAUCAUCCAUAACUUGGAGAUUGGAAUCCCUUAUCCCUCCAGACUUUACAAGAUCUUGAUUUCGUGGGGGGGAGGGGAAUGUCCAGAUGCUGUUGUCCAUUUAGCUUUACUGAUAAGUUCAUGGAGUUAAUACCAAAAGCUACAAAAACACAAGAAUUACAUGUUUGAGAGCCAGCUGGGAAGAGUUGCUGACUCUGGAUAUGUUUUAUUUCUGGAGGUUUUAGCCUUAUGAUCAUCCUGCUAUUUCAUCCUAGUCCUACUUCAGAUGCAAGGUGCUCUUCCUUCCCACGACAAACAGAAAGGAAAUGAUAUCUUUGUCACCUAAUUUGAUUAAUCUUUGCUGGUUUAAGAAACGGUUUUCUUUCCCCCAUCUUCACUAUUCUUACAACUAAUAAGUGAACAUGUUCAAAGUAAAUUUAAAAGGACAAUUACCUUUUUUUUUUGCCUUGGUUGCUUGCUGCAGUGUCCAAGCAAGUAAUCUUCAAUUUCUGAAGAGUCCAAGAUAAUCCUGGUUGGCUAUCCAGUGCUACAGGAAAGUGACUCGGAUCUAAUAUGGAAAUUUAAAAAACAAGAGGUAGGUUUCAAAAAGGAGUUAGCCAAAAAGAGAAACAGGAUUUACUAUUGAGCCUGCUUAUAAGAUAGUGUGUGAUUUGUUGCUUGUAAGUAUUAUGUGAUGUUGGGGUAUGGCAGACCUACUAUCAAACAUGUGAAAUAUGCCUGAGAUGCUACAGAACAAGCUCACACUCAAUAGAAUAAAUAUUUCAAAAAAAUGCCUUGCAUUUAACUAGAACUUUUCCAGGUUACCAGGUGUCGAAACAUGCUUUCCAACCAAUAAAGUAUUUUUAAAAGUGUAGUCAUUGUUGUAAUGUCAGAGAAGCAGCAAUUAAUUUUUGCUCGGCAAAGCCUCCACAACAGCAGUGUGAAAAUGAGCAGAUAAUCUGUUUUAUGUGAUGUUGAUUGAAUGUUGAGUAUUGGCCAGGACCCAAGGAACAACUCCCCAGCCUUUCUUCAAAAUAGUGCCAUGGUAUCUGUUGCAUCCAUCAAUCCAAGCAGACAGACUGGAACUCUGUUUAACAAGACAGUUCCUCCAAUAGUACAGUGGUCCCUCGACUGCACAGUUGUCAUUUUUUUUAUAAAUCCUAGUAACUUGUUUAUUAGUGGAUCCCUUAAAGGUGGGAAAAGUAGGCCUGGAGGCAUUUGUGAGAAUCCCGAGAUACAGUUCAUAUAGAUUAGAUUAGUAUCAACAAAUUCCUGAAUGUAAGCUGUUAGCCUGUUUACACCAGCUUGAGACAAAGUCUAGAAAGACCCUGAAAUACAGAAAAAUCCUGUCAACAAAAACAGUUACAGAUUCAUAGAGUCAUAGAGUCAUACAGCAGAGAAACAGACCCUUCGGUCCAUAUGGUCCAUGCCAAACAUGAUUCCAAACUAAACUAGUCCCACUUGCCUGCUCCUGGCCCAUAUCCCUGCAAAUCUUUCCUAUUCAUGUACUUAUCUAAAUAUCUUUUAAUUGUUGUAAUUGUAACCCACAUCUACCACUUUCUGAGGAAGCUCAUUCAACACGCGAUCCUCCCUCUGUGUAAAAAAUUUCCCUCUCAUGUAUUUUCUAAAUCUCUCUCCCCUCGUCUUAAAAAUGUGUCCUCUAGUCUGAAAAUCCCCCAUCCCAGGGAAAAAGACAAUGACCAUUAAUGCUAUUUAUACCCCUCAUUAUUUUAAAACACACAAAAAGUGGGAGCCACAGAAGUGAGACCUUUUUAUUCAUUCAAUUCGCUAGAAUCUAUUACACACACGAUGUAUUUCCAUAUUUUAUCUCUUUGAACCAAUAAAGGAGUUUGAUUAGCUUUCAGUUUUCAAUCCCAGGAAAGGAACCCUUUUUUCUGAAAUGUUAAUACUUUUUUUAUCUUUACAAAUGCUGAUUCACUGACUUAUCUGUUGUAGAAGUAUCUCUCUCUCUUUCUUUUUAAUUUACGAAUACGGAGUUAGUGUCCAUUGAACUGGUCUAUUAGUAAGUGCUGCAGUGGCCUUCCAUUCCCCUCUGCAGUAUGGUUGAAUUGGAAACUUGCAGCUUUUACUAAUAAUCUUCAGGAGUAUUUGGAGGAAUAACAGUCUGAUAAUCAAUCUGUUUGGAGAGACAAUUAAUGCAUUUUCUGUGGUCAACAAAUCCUGAAGUGGAACUUCAACCCAGAACCUCUUACCCCAGAAGUAUGGGCACUAUAAUGGUACUACAAAACCUUUAUUGUAUGUAUCUAACGUUUGCUAAUUAUUGUCAUAAAUAUAUAUAUAUAUUUCAUGAUCAUAAAAAUGUAUGAUUAUUAUAAUUCUAUGAUGGAACUUAAAAUGUUGGACAAGUCUUCCAUGCAUAUCACUUUUGUAAAUUUGUAUUUGUAAGAAUUUUGGAAUAAUUUGCUCCUCUUUUAUAUACAAAUUCACUUCAAAUAUGUUUUUAACUUGUAUAUUAAUUAUCUCAAUGGUUGUUAAAUGUUUGUAUGGUUGAGUUGACAUUGUCUUUUGAACAUUAGAAGUGCGGUGGUGGAUAAUGUGUGACUUUUUAAGCAGAGUUCUUACUUUCUGCCCUCUUUCGCUGCAGUGAAGUCAGGACCCUGGAAAUUCAUGGGCUUGGUUUUGCAGUGGAUUUUUAAAUUUCAUGCUGACAUUAGCAUUGCAUUUCUAGGUUUCCCAAUCAGUCCAAGAGUCCAAGUGUGAAAAUAGCCUACACAUCAGUUGAAAUAACUCUGUUUAAAAGGUUCCAUUGUGGAAGUAUUAGUGAAAAUGUAAUGAUGUAAUUGUAAUGGACAUCGUCCUGGUUCUGAGGUAUCUUUAAGGACAGAGAAGUAAAGGUACAAAACCAUUCAGCUAUUCUAUUCAAUACAUAUUUUCAAAUCAUCCUGUUCAGGGAUGUUAUUACACACACUUUUGGAGCAGAUGAGCCUUCUGGCUCAGAUGUAGGAACACCACGUCUGCACAUCAAGUGCCAUUCAAUACAAUCAUGGCUGAUAACUGACAUUAAUUCCCCACAUGAACCACUCUCUAUUGCUUAGCUAUAUCUGUCAAUUCUUGAAAGUAAGAAAUAAUGGGAACUGCGGAUGCUAGAGAAUUCAAGAUAACAAAGUGUGGGGCUGGAUGAACCCACCAGGCCAAGCAGCAUCUUAAGAGCACAAAAGCUGACAUUUUGGGCCUUGACCGUUCAUCAGAAGUUGCUUACCCCAACUCAAAGACUGCUGUUGUGAGAGCAUUUCUUCAGGUUCAUG